ACAGCAGAAUGGUGUCCCUCAAAUCAUUUCGCACUUUAGGCCGGCUCUACGCCUGGGUAAUGUUCCUGGUUUCGCUGGGUGUAAUAAUAGCGAUAAAAUUGGACAAAAAUGCUACCGGUACGAUCAUUGCAACUGUUGUGGAUAGAAUUGAUGUUCAGCUGGCGAUAGCGUUUUGGUUUGAUAAAGGAAAUUUUGAACACAUUAUGCUGUCCCUUUGUGCACCAUUUACACAAAGUGUCAUUUACGUGGUUGCCGCUGCUAUUUUCGAAAUUGCAAUUGUCUAUAAAUCCGCCAUUCUUGUUUCACUGUACGACCUCUUUUUCUUUAUAAUGUCAAUUAUAGACUUAAUAGUAUUCAUAAUACUGUUUAAAUAUUUUCGUGGAAUGUUUGUUGACAUUUCAGAAGUGGAAAGAGCGCUUUAUCUAAUAUUUGCUGGGUGGAUUGUGUACGUAAUUACAAUUUCGUGGCUCUUGAGAGGCGUUUCGCGAUACAUCAAUGCUGUGAACCAACCAGCAACACUUGUUAGUUACGGAGACGUCGUUGUCACAGAGUUUGUAAGUGUGAGUGCAACCCAGGUUCGAUAUUGACACUCUUAACUUUUUAUUUGCCAAAUGCUCUUGAAUAAGUCGUGCAAUCGAUCGAUGAUAAAUAAAGAAAUAUAUUUUUUAUA